GAUUGCAAUGCUGUUCUUAAAGCUCUACAGCCCAUUUUUCAGGAGCAGGGAAUGACAGAAACAGUUCAUAACUGGGAAGACCAUGGUUAUUUAGCAACCUACAUCAAAAAAAAUGGCAGUUUUGCCAAUUUGAGAAUUUACCCUCAUGGACUAGUGUUGGUGGAUCUGCAGAGCUACAACGAUCAUGUGAAAGGAAGAGAAGAGACCGAUCAGCUUCUAAACAAAGUAGAAGAAAGAAUGAAAGAAUUGUUUCAUGGUAAUAUAAAAAAGGUGAAGCG